rnacentral:rRNA from 1 species
GACGAACGCUGGCGGCGUGCUUAACACAUGCAAGUCGAACGCUGAAGCUCAGCUUUUGUUGGGUGGAUGAGUGGCGAACGGGUGAGUAACACGUGAGUAACCUGCCCCCUUCUUUGGGAUAACGCCCGGAAACGGGUGCUAAUACUGGAUAUUCACUGGUCUUCGCAUGGGGGUUGGUGGAAAGGGUUUUUCUGGUGGGGGAUGGGCUCGCGGCCUAUCAGCUUGUUGGUGGGGUGAUGGCCUACCAAGGCUUUGACGGGUAGCCGGCCUGAGAGGGUGACCGGUCACAUUGGGACUGAGAUGCGGCCCAGGCUCCUACGGGAGGCGGCAGUGGGGAAUAUUGCACAAUGGGCGCAAGCCUGAUGCCGCGACGCCGCGUGAGGGAUGGGGGCCUUCGGGUUGUGAACCUCUUUCGCUCAUGGUCAAGCCGCAACAAUGGUUGUGGUGAGGGUAGUGGGUAAAGAAGCGCCGGCUAACUACGUG